UACGGAGGGUGCGAGCGUUGUCCGGAAUUAUUGGGCGUAAAGAGCUCGUAGGCGGUCUGUCGCGUCUGCUGUGAAAACUCAGGGCUUAACCCUGAGCUUGCAGUGGGUACGGGCAGACUAGAGUGCGGUAGGGGAGACUGGAAUUCCUGGUGUAGCGGUGAAAGUGCGCAGAUAUCAGGAGGAACACCGGUGGCGAAGGCGGGUCUCUGGGGCCGUAAACUGACGCUGGAGGAGCGAAA
rnacentral:rRNA from 1 species